rnacentral:rRNA from 1 species
GACGAACGCUGGCGGCGUGCUUAACACAUGCAAGUCGAACGGAAAGGCCCUGCUUUUGUGGGGUGCUCGAGUGGCGAACGGGUGAGUAACACGUGAGUAACCUGCCCUUGACUUUGGUAUAACUUCAGGAAACUGGGGCUAAUACCGGAUAGGAGCUCCUGCUGCAUGGUGGGGGUUGGAAAUUUUCGGCGGUUGGGGAUGGACUCGCGGCUUAUCAGCUUGUUGGUGGGGUAGGGGCUUACCAAGGCUUUGAAGGGUAGCCGGCCUGAGAGGGUGACCGGCCACAUUGGGACUGAGAUACGGCACAGACUCCUACGGGAGGCAGCAGUGGGGAAUAUUGUCCAAUGGGCGGAAGCCUGAUGCAGCAACGCCGCGUGCGGGAUGACGGCCUUCGGGUUGUAAACCGCAUUCGCCUGUGACGAAGCGUGAGUGACGGUAAUGGGUAAAGAAGCACCGGCUAACUACGUG